UGAUUGAUUUUGGUCGCCAACGAGUGGCGGACGGGUGAGUAACACGUAGGUAACCUGCCCAGAAGCGGGGGACAACAUUUGGAAACAGAUGCUAAUACCGCAUAACAGCGUUGUUCGCAUGAACAACGCUUAAAAGAUGGCUUCUCGCUAUCACUUCUGGAUGGACCUGCGGUGCAUUAGCUUGUUGGUGGGGUAAUGGCCUACCAAGGCGAUGAUGCAUAGCCGAGUUGAGAGACUGAUCGGCCACAAUGGGACUGAGACACGGCCCAUACUCCUACGGGAGGCAGCAGUAGGGAAUCUUCCACAAUGGGCGCAAGCCUGAUGGAGCAACACCGCGUGAGUGAAGAAGGGUUUCGGCUCGUAAAGCUCUGUUGUUAAAGAAGAACACGUAUGAGAGUAACUGUUCAUACGUUGACGGUAUUUAACCAGAAAGUCACGGCUAACUACGUGCCAGCAGCCGCGGUAAUACGUAGGUGGCAAGCGUUAUCCGGAUUUAUUGGGCGUAAAGAGAGUGCAGGCGGUUUUCUAAGUCUGAUGUGAAAGCCUUCGGCUUAACCGGAGAAGUGCAUCGGAAACUGGAUAACUUGAGUGCAGAAGAGGGUAGUGGAACUCCAUGUGUAGCGGUGGAAUGCGUAGAUAUAUGGAAGAACACCAGUGGCGAAGGCGGCUACCUGGUCUGCAACUGACGCUGAGACUCGAAAGCAUGGGUAGCGAACAGGAUUAGAUACCCUGGUAGUCCAUGCCGUAAACGAUGAGUGCUAGGUGUUGGAGGGUUUCCGCCCUUCAGUGCCGGAGCUAACGCAUUAAGCACUCCGCCUGGGGAGUACGACCGCAAGGUUGAAACUCAAAGGAAUUGACGGGGGCCCGCACAAGCGGUGGAGCAUGUGGUUUAAUUCGAAGCUACGCGAAGAACCUUACCAGGUCUUGACAUCUUGCGCCAACCCUAGAGAUAGGGCGUUUCCUUCGGGAACGCAAUGACAGGUGGUGCAUGGUCGUCGUCAGCUCGUGUCGUGAGAUGUUGGGUUAAGUCCCGCAACGAGCGCAACCCUUGUUACUAGUUGCCAGCAUUAAGUUGGGCACUCUAGUGAGACUGCCGGUGACAAACCGGAGGAAGGUGGGGACGACGUCAGAUCAUCAUGCCCCUUAUGACCUGGGCUACACACGUGCUACAAUGGACGGUACAACGAGUCGCGAACUCGCGAGGGCAAGCAAAU
rnacentral:rRNA from 1 species